AGAUUGCAGCAGAGUACUCGGAGUGCCCAUCAGGGAAAAAAGGAGGAGAUCUUGGAUGGUUCCCUAGAGGAAAGAUGGCAGGUCCAUUCCAAGAUGUCGCCUUCAACACACCUGUUGGUGUCACUAGUGCACCUUUCAAAUCUACGCAUGGAUACCACAUCAUCUUGUCGGAAGGAAGGAAAUACUGACAGAUUACAUCUCUGUUCUCCUCUGCUCUAGUCUUGUGGAAGUCACUUGCUAGUUGUUACUGUAACCUAUAUAUAAAACACACAGCCUUUGUUGUUCUGGCCAAAAUGUUUGCUACAAGUUGUUAACAAAUCUUCUCUGUUGUUUUGAAUAAUGAAUUUCUGAAGGCUAUGUGAUUCAUUUCGGUGUUUGA